GGAAAAGAAACCAACACGGAAUGCCCUAGUAACGGCGAGUGAAGCGGCAACAGCUCAAAUUUGAAAUCUGGCUCUCGGGCCCGAGUUGUAAUUUGUAGAGGAUGCUUUUGAUGCGGUGCCUUCCGAGUUCCCUGGAACGGGACGCCAUAGAGGGUGAGAGCCCCGUCUGGUUGGAUGCCAAAUCUCUGUAAAGCUCCUUCGACGAGUCGAGUAGUUUGGGAAUGCUGCUCUAAAUGGGAGGUAUAUGUCUUCUAAAGCUAAAUACCGGCCAGAGACCGAUAGCGCACAAGUAGAGUGAUCGAAAGAUGAAAAGCACUUUGAAAAGAGAGUUAAAAAGUACGUGAAAUUGUUGAAAGGGAAGCGUUUAUGACCAGACUUGGGCUUGGUUAAUCAUCUGGGGUUCUCCCCAGUGCACUUUUCCAGUCCAGGCCAGCAUCAGUUUUCGCCGGGGGAUAAAGGCUUCGGGAAUGUGGCUCUCUCCGGGGAGUGUUAUAGCCCGUUGCGUAAUACCCUGGCGGGGACUGAGGUUCGCGCAUCUGCAAGGAUGCUGCCAAAACGGACAUCAACGACC
rnacentral:rRNA from 1 species